UCUAGUUCUUUGGAGCUAAAUCUAUACCCAUUUUUUCACAUUUUCUCUUUUAAAGAACUUUCCUCUGGUUCUUUGUUCCUCUUAUAAUUCCUAUGGUUCUGGUUCUUUGUUCCCUUACUCGGUUGUUCUUCCCACAUACAGCUCAAGAGAUACAAUUGUGCUCACCUUGAGAUUAUUCAUCUUACGGGUAUUACUCUCCUCUUUCUAUACUUUUUUUUCUCUUUGUACUCUGAGAAGUGUGCGACUUUGUUAUGCUCACAUGCACACAUCUACAUAGAAACGUAAAACUGAUGAAGAGGUUAACUAGUUUCAGAACAUGCUGAGUACAGAUGGCGACAAAGAUUAAUCAUGGCGACCAAAAUUGAAGUAAAAAAAGUUUAUGCAUUUGUGGAGUUGGCAACCAUUGAUAUAAAACAAUGCAUUUUCAGUUUUAGAAGUUGACAACUAGUGUCAAUCUUAUAGUUGCGUUUGGCUAUAAAUCCACUAAAAUAAUAAACAAUGAAAAAUUCACAAUAUUCAUGACUACAUAUUUUAAUUGCUUUGAAAAAAUCAAUUAGAAAAUUGUUUGAUUUUUUUGAUUGCUUUACUGGCUGAAACGAAUCUGUUCGUAUACACAAUAGAUGAGUACUUCGACGGUUGAAGUUGGUGGUGAAAAAGUGAAAGCAAUGUUGGAUAAGAGAUUGAUAGAAAUAUUUUGUGAUAUUUGUAUUAAAAAGAUAUUGAAAGGCAAUAGGCUUGAUACUCAUUUCACAAAAGAUGGAUGGUUGAAAAUAAUGACCAACUUUGAGAAAGAAACGGGCAAGGGUUUUUCACAGAGACAACUUAAAAAUAGGUGGGAUGCCCUAAAAAAAGAAUGGAAAGCUUGGAAGAAACUUAAAGGCGAAGAUACUAGUCUAGGGUGGAAUCCUAUAAAAAGAACUGUUUAUGCAUCGGAUGAUUGGUGGGAGAGUAGGCUACAGGUUGUGCCUGAAGCUUAAAAAUUUAGAGCAUCGGGCAUUGAUCUUGAAUUCGAAGGGAAGUUGGACCAAAUGUUCAUGGGGAUAGUUGCAACAGGUGAUAAAGCAUAGGCACCUUCUUCUGGUACACUCCGUAGUGAUUUUUUUGAGGAUGUUAACAACGAAAUACCUGAAGAGAAUGAAGAAGAAAAUGUGAGAAAUGAUGUUCACAUUUCAAAUGAUGUUCAAAUUGAUGGAAACGAUCAAAAAAGAAAAAAAUCCUGAGAUAUCAAGUUCACAUUUUAAAACUGGAAGAAAGAAAUCCUCAAAGCAAAUUGGAGGGGCUGCAAGAUUGUCCAGUCAAAUAGAAAAAUUAUGCAAUGCAGCUGACAAUAUGAGUCAAGCCACAUCUAGUUUGACUCCUGUUAUGGAUCCAUAUGGUAUUCUACAAGCAGUCAAAGUGCUUGACAGCAUGUUGGGAGAAGUUCCAAAAGCUAGUCCGCUAUACUUUUUCGCACUUAAAUUAUUGCUCAAUAAGGACAAGCGAAUUAUGUUUUUAUCAAUUAAUCCCAAGAUUAGAGUUUUGUGGCUUAAGACGGAAAUGGAGGAUAGUUGAAAAUUUUCUGAUUUUCUAGGGUUCAGAGAUAUCUAUUAUGUGACUAAACAACAAUGCUAAACUAGUUUUAUCAAUAGUUAUUUAUGUUUGGUUUUUGGAUAUUGAAUUUACGUUUUACUUAUUUAUGUGUAAUCUAGUUUUAUCAA